rnacentral:misc_RNA from 1 species
ACAAACUUGGUCAUUUAGAGGAAGUAAAAGUCGUAACAAGGUCUCCGUUGGUGAACCAGCGGAGGGAUCAUUAAAGAGUUUUUACAACUCCCAAACCCCUGUGAACAUACCUUCUGUUGCCUCGGCAGGUCCUGGCCUACCCUGUAGCACCCUUACGUUGUAAGGAUUGCUUUAGGGGGAGCGUUAGGGGCACCCUGCCGGCGGCUCGCAAAACUCUGUUUAGCAUUGAAUUCUGAACAUAUAACUAAAUAAGUUAAAACUUUCAACAACGGAUCUCUUGGUUCUGGCAUCGAUGAAGAACGCAGC